GGAGUUAUGAAAUGUAAAGGUGUUAAUAGCGCCUUUAUUUGACGAAGGCUCCAGAGGAAGCCACGGCUAACUCUGUGCCAGCAGCCGCGGUAAUACAGAGGUGGCAAGCGUUGUUCGGAAUUAUUGGGCGUAAAGAGCACGUAGGCGGUCCUGCAAGUCUGUUGUGUAAUCCUUCCGCUUAACGGGAGAACGGCAGCCGAUACUACAGGACUAGAGUACGGGAGGGGAGAGUG
rnacentral:rRNA from 1 species